rnacentral:sRNA from 1 species
UAUUCUGCCCCACGGGGAAGGAUGAGAAGCUUUGGCCAAGGUUCGACCCCAGCGAAGCCAGAGGAACGUUGCCGCUGGCAAUGGCCCGAAGGCGAGGCGCUUUAGCGCCGAGUAAUCCUUCCCCCACCACUG